AUUGAACGCUGGCGGCAUGCCUUACACAUGCAAGUCGAACGGUAACGGGCCUUCGGGUGCCGACGAGUGGCGAACGGGUGAGUAAUACAUCGGAACGUGCCCGAUCGUGGGGGAUAACGAGGCGAAAGCUUUGCUAAUACCGCAUACGAUCUACGGAUGAAAGCAGGGGACCGCAAGGCCUUGCGCGGACGGAGCGGCCGAUGGCAGAUUAGGUAGUUGGUGGGAUAAAAGCUUACCAAGCCGACGAUCUGUAGCUGGUCUGAGAGGAUGAUCAGCCACACUGGGACUGAGACACGGCCCAGACUCCUACGGGAGGCAGCAGUGGGGAAUUUUGGACAAUGGGCGCAAGCCUGAUCCAGCCAUGCCGCGUGCAGGAUAAAGGCCUUCGGGUUGUAAACUGCUUUUGUACGGAACGAAAAGCCUUCUUUUAAUACAGGAGGGUCAUGACGGUACCGUAAGAAUAAGCACCGGCUAACUACGUG
rnacentral:rRNA from 1 species